AAGCCCGCCUCGCCGGCGGCAAUAUGCGCGUUGCUCUCAUUGAUGCCGAGAUGGUGCUCCGUCUUCAGCUCGGUACUGACGCCGUGACGGGCAAA
rnacentral:tRNA from 1 species